rnacentral:rRNA from 1 species
AAUCGAACGUGGAGAUAGCUGGUUCUCCCCGAAAUAGCUUUAGGGCUAGCCUCGAGGUAGAGAUUGCAGGCGGUAGAGCACUGAUCAGGAGAGGGGCCUACCCGGCUACCAAACCCAGUCAAACUACGAAUGGCUGCAAUUAUACUCGGGAGUCAGACUACGACUUAUAAGGGCCGUGGUCAAAAGGGAAACAGCCCAGAUCAUCAGCUAAGGUCCCAAAUGCCGUGCUAAGUGGCGAAGGAUGUGGCGUUUCAUAAACAACCAGGAUGUUGGCUCAGAAGCAGCCACCAUUUAAAGAGUGCGUAAUAGCUCACUGGUCGAGAGACGCUGCGCCGAAAAUGUCCGGGGCUCAAGCACGGAACCGAAGCUAUGGCAUUGACUAUGUCAAUGGGUAGGGGAGCGUUCUUAACAGGAAGAAGCAUGACCGGAAGGACAUGUGGACCGUUAAGAAGUGAGAAUGCCGGUAUGAGUAUCGAAAAGAAAGGUGAGAAUCCUUUCCACCGAAAGCCCGAGGGUUCCUGAGCAACGAUCGUCGUCUCAGGGUAAGUCGGGACCUAAGCCGAGGCGGAGACGCAUAGGCGAUGGACAACAGGUUGAAAUUCCUGUACCGGAUACAAUCGUUUGAGCGAUGGAGCGACGCAGAAAGGCAUAUGAUCGCGCGACUGGAAGAGCGCGUCCAAGUGCGUAUGUUGAAUCGGAGGCAAAUCCCUGAUUCUGAAAGCAGAGACACGAUGGGGAGUUAUACGAAAGUAUGACGAACUCAUAGAUCCUACACUGCCAAGAAAAACUUCUAGUGAGAAAGUAUCCGCCCGUACCGUAAACCGACACAGGUAGGCGGGGAGAGAAUCCUAAGGUGCGCGGGAAAACCCUCGUUAAGGAACUCGGCAAAUUGCAUCCGUAACUUAGGGAGAAGGAUGACCUUAAGUAAGCGAAAGGGAGAAACCCCUGGAACAGAACAAGGUGGCAGAAAAGAGGCCCAAGCAACUGUUUACCAAAAACACAGGUGCCUGCGAAAGCGAAAGCUGAAGUAUAGGUGCUGACGCCUGCCCGGUGCUGGAAGGUUAAGGAGAGAUGUCAGAGCAAUCGAAGCAUUGAACUGAAGCCCCAGUGAACGGCGGCCGUAACUAUAACGGUCCUAAGGUAGCGAAAUUCCUUGUCGGGUAAGUUCCGACCCGCAUGAAAGGCGUAAUGAUUUGGGCACUGUCUCAACGAGGGGCCCGGUGAAAUUGAAAUACCUGUGAAGAUGCAGGUUACCCGCGACUGGACAGAAAGACCCCAUGGAGCUUCACUGCAGCUUGAGAUUGAAUCUCGGUGAUGCAUGCACAGGAUAGGUGGGAGACUAAGAAGUAUGGGCUUUGGCUUAUACCGAGUCGAUGUUGGGAUACCACCCUUGUAUUGCUGAGAUUCUAACACGGAGGCUAACAACCUCGUGGACCAUCUCAGGUAGGCGGUUUGACUGGGGCGGUCGCCUCCGAAAGAGUAACGGAGGCGCCCAAAGGUUCCCUCAGGUCGGACAGAAACCGACCGAAGAGUGCAAAGGCAGAAGGGAGCUUGACUGCGAGACAGACAAGUCGAGCAGAGACGAAAGUCGGGCUUAGUGAUCCGGUGGUACUGAGUGGAAAGGCCAUCGCUCAACGGAUAAAAGCUACCCUGGGGAUAACAGGCUAAUCUCUCCCAAGAGUUCAUAUCGACGGGGAGGUUUGGCACCUCGAUGUCGGCUCAUCACAUCCUGGAGCUGGAGUAGGUUCCAAGGGUUGGGCUGUUCGCCCAUUAAAGUGGUACGCGAGCUGGGUUCAAAACGUCGUGAGACAGUUUGGUUCAUAUCCAUCGCGGGCGCAAGAAGUUUGAGGGAGGCUGCUCCUAGUACGAGAGGACCGGAGUGGACGGAUCAACGGUGUACCAGUUGUCACGCCAGUGGCACGGCUGGAAAGCCGCAUCCGGAAAGGAUAAACGCUGAAAGCAUCUAAGCGUGAAGCCCGUCCCGAGAUGAGACUUCU